CUGAAUUCAGACAGUUCCACUUAUCUGACGUUAUGGAUUUGCAGUCUAUGGAGAGUGUUGUUGGGUCUCUAAAUGAGGGGAUUGUCUCUAUCUGUAACAUCUCCAAGUCUCUCUUGGAUGCACAAGUUGAUCGCAGCACACUGAAAAAGAUUAUACUAAAUUGUUUUAAGGUAAAUGGUAGAAAGCCAUUAAUUUUAGCUACAUUUAAAUAAACAGCAGAACAAAGAAAAAUGCAAUGCCAUGGAUGAAUUACACAAUGAGAAGAACUCUGCUGAAGAAUCAUUAAAGAAUUCUAAAGCAGCUUUGGAGCAGGCUGAAAAAGAUGAACUACAAAGACAGCAAGCUAGACAUAACACUGGCACAGGUGUAACAAUUGGAGGGGCGGCAGUGGCUGCAGUACCAAUUAUCGGAUGGAUUCCUGGUGUAAUAAUGAUGUCUGUGGGAGCUAGUGAAAUUAUUAAGGCUUCAAACGCUAUCAGGGAAGUUGAAAAUGAGCUAAAAAAACUGGAGUCCGAGGUGAAUGAGAAGAGCAUGAAGGUGUCUGAUUACCAAUCCAAGAUCGCUACCAUACAGAAUGAGACUGAAGAGACAGUUGAGUUGCUAAAUAAAUUGGAGAAGGAGACUGAAGAGGUGAAGCAGCAUCUACAGUUCACAGCUGAUAUUCAGGAAACGGUCAGGAGAGCUGUGACCCUUCUGACUGUUCUUAAUGGAAGAGUCACUGUAUUGGAGAAACAAACUCAGAGCUUCAUCCUCUGGGAGCCUGUGAUAAAUGCCAUGGAAGAUGUGAUAAAGGCAGCAGAAAAUGUUGCAGGGAAUCAGCUCCUUUAUAGUCAGGGUUUACCAGGCUUCAUAAAUACUUUGAGGAAGAAUAUUGGAGAAAUACGGGCUAUAUGCAACUCUCCCAAUAAUUCUGAACAUGACCACUAUUACUAAUCAUCAUCUAAUUAAUACCUAGAAACCACUUUACAUAAGCACCUUACAGUGCUUAAUAAUAAUUGAUUACAUAUUCUAAUAAUAAUAAAUAGCAUCACCACCACCA
ensembl:lncRNA